CGCCCUCUGUCCACGAGCCCGUCCUCUUCCAGACUGCAAGGGACCCUUUAGGUGCUUCCUAUUUAGGCGUGCCUUCAGAUGUCAAUUCUUCUGCUGCCAGUAAUAAAAUAAGUGGUGCAAGUAAUUCUAAGCCAUAUCACCCUUCUCUUGCCAAGAUUCUCUUGUCAUUGGAUGGAAACCUGGCCAAACAGCAGGCCUUAUCGCAUAUUCUUACAGCAUUGCAAAUCAUGUAUGCCAGAGAUGCCGUAGUGGGGGCCCUGAUGCCGGCCGCCAUGAUCGCCCCGGUGGAGUGCCCCUCUGCGGCUGCUUCGGACGCAUUUGCGAUGGCUAGUCCCAUGAAUGGAGAAGAAUGCAUGCUGGCUGUUGAUAUCGAAGACAGACUGAGUCCAAAUCCGUGGCAAGAAAAGAGAGAGAUUGUUUCCUCUGAGGACGUGGUGACCCCCUCUGCAGUGACUCCAUCGGCCCUCUCAGCCUCCGCUGGGCCAUUUAUCACAGUGACGGAUGACCCGGGAGCUGCAAGCAUCUUUGCAGAAACCAUGACCAAAACUGAAGAGGUGGCAGAUAUGCUGUUGGAGCUCUGUGUCACCGAGUUGGAGGAUGUGGCCACAAGACUUGCAGAGCGGCCGCCUCUCUUCUCA